ACAUAUGCUACUAAGUGUUUCAUAGUUGGAUAUCAUUCGACGUCUGCUAACUAGUCUAAUGGUUUUGGUUAGUUUCCCCAAAACAAGCAGUUUAAGCACUAAGAUUGGUUUACAAAUUAGUUCAGUAAAGAUUUUAUGUAUAUCAUAUUUAUGUUUAGUUUUGGGGAUGUGUGGCCUGGGAUCGGAUAUAACUUAUUUGAAGAGCUAUAGAAAGAUGCCCUUUUUAUAUUAGAGCCCUAAUUUUUACAAUAAAAGUAAUAAUUUAUAUAAAGCUUCUCGAAAAUUUGGUCAGAAAACCAACGAAAAAUAACACGGCAUAUAAAAUAUUUUAGUGAUGAAAGUUUUAAGUAAAUUUGUGCCAGGGUUAAUCUACAUGCAAAAUUGUCUGAAAUAGAAUAUAAAACUAUGACCAACCCAUAAACUUUUUUAAGUCUAACUCAAUUUGACAAUUUGUCACAUUACUUCAUUUCAGGCCAUUAUCAAAAUCAACAAAUAAGUUAACAAUUUACAUUGGCUGCAGUUAGAAAUCAUGCAUCAUAAACCAAGUUUAAAACACAUGUUGAUCAAAACACGAUUGGAUCAGUUAAGGAGUAAUAUAAGGAUGCGUUCUAAUAAAUCUGAUAGUAUUAAAUGCAAAUUACCAGAUACUAACAAAUGUCAACCUGAAGAAUUCGAAUCCGAAAGACAACCCCAAAUAGCUCCCUGCACCCCGGAUUGUACUAAAUCUCAGAACCCCAAACUCCAACCGAGAAAUUGCUUGCCUUGGGAAAAAGCAGCUGAACAAUGUCCUUCAAAAAUGGCACCCAGAAUUCUAGAAACUGAAUGCUGCAAACACAUCUGCGAACCAUAUACAGGCCAAGACAUAAUCGAUAAAUUCACUAUGUCCUCUUGCGAAUUUAAAAGGUUCCUCAAAUGUUCUAGGAAAACCAAAGAUGCAGAAAAAUGUAUCAAUUUGAAGAUGGAAUUUGGUUUGCCAAAAAAGGUGGGUUUUUUUUGGGUAAAAACAUUGUCUAUGAGGUAAUUUUAAGGAGUAUCCCAUGAUGCACGCUGUACGCAAGAAGUACCUCGCAGGAGCCCCCUUUAAAGUUCACAAACAUGGUCACACGGAAAUUGUAACAAAUAAAAAUUGAAACUGAAAAAUGUUUUUGUCAAAAUAAUAAUAAAGUAACAUUUUUUAAUAUGAUUAUGCACGUCUGCUGAGUAUUUCAUUUAUAUCUAGAUAUCAGGUGCAAAAUAUUUUAAAAGAUUAUUUUUCAACAAGAUUUAAGCACAUAAUCUUUGUUUCCAAUACGGAAACGAGGUCUAUCAAAUUUCCAAAAAAAAAAUGUUUGUAUACCUCCAAGAUUGAAUAAUUUUUAAAGAUAAACAGAUAAACUAAAUUUAUUCCCAUACGAUCAGAGUAUUUCUUUUUAAGUAAACAGUCGUGACGUUUCACUAUUUGCGUUAUCGCUUUGAUACCCAAGAAAAGUUUCACCAGUCCAAUGUCAACUGUUGUCAAUUUACAUCCAAAUUAAUUGUGAUCAUUUCGCACCAUUUUCCAUCACAAAGUCAUAAAUUUCAUAAUACCAUGUGGUUCUGCAAGACUUCUGUAAAUGUAUUGUUUGAAUGGCUAACCAAUUGCCAAAGCUUUAAUAGAAAUUUACAUCUUCCUUAUGGUUCUUGUGGAAGCGCAAGAAAUGCUCGUCAAGAAAUGUGGAAAUAUUAUUCCACUAACGACAAUUUCAACGAGAAAAAUUUCGAGAUGGAUAUCGAUAAAAAGGCAGAAUUAGAAUUGAAUGGAGAAAAAUCGUAUAUGAAUAUCCUGGAGAAAUUGACGCUGAAAACAAAAAAUAAAAAGAAUCAAAAUGUUAAGCUAACAAUAACUUCCGAAUAUCAAAAACCGAUAAAGAUAGAUGUCGAAAAAGAAUUAAUGAAAUCCAACUUAAAAAUAUAUGAUCUUCAAAAUCACGCAAACAAAGAAGGCGAUUUACUUAUAGUUAUACCUAAGAGGACGAUGGUUGAAUAUGAUUUACUGAAACCAAACCAACAAAAUAAACCCGCAGAGAAUACUUACAAAAACAAAGACAAAAUUGGCGGAACAACACAAAUAUUUAAAAAGAUGAUAAACGAAAUGAAAAGCAAACAUACCAAUGAAGAACAUUCAAACGAAACCAAACAUGAGCUACACAAAGCAGCAAACAUUGGUACAAAGGUAAACAAAUUGGAAAAAAAAUAUACAACCAAAAUAGAACCUAAAGUGGAAUCUUCAAGAAGAAACAAAUUUUACCAAGAAAAAAUUCUUAACACAACGAUAAACUUCAAUCAACAUACUGAAAAAAUGCACGAAAGCAGUGGCACUGAAAUUAAACACCAAUUGAACAAAACAACUAACACUAAAAGUAAAAAUACUGACAAACAAACGGCAAGUAAAAGUAGAACAGAAAACGAAGCGCUAUCAAAUGUAAAAAUGAAACAAAAAAAUAAAUUUAAUGAAAUGCGUGCCAAUGAUAAAUUAAGAACAACAAUAACUAAAGUAGCAAAGGAAAACAAAGCACAACAAACUUUAAAAGAGACAGAAUUGGAAAACGUAUCAAAACAGGACGCAAGCUCUAAAGAAAAAUUAGAAUCAGUCAUUGAACGCAACGAAAAGGCAAUCGAAAUAAAAAAUAAGAAGCAAAAAAUAAGGGUAUUACUGUCCAUGCCCUUAGAGGUGGAGUUAGAUAAUAAUGAUCUAAUAAAACUUCAAACAGAAAUGAGAAAAAUGCAUUAUAAUUAUUUAAAGCAACCCGUAAAUGCAGAACAAGUUGACGCGGGCGAUAAAUACUCUCUAAUUAGAAAUAAUGAAAAGAAGUACGAAAAAGUGCAGAAAAAUGUUGAACGAAAUUAUUUAAGCACCUAUAAUUCAAAAAACAUGCAAACAAAAACAGCAAAAGAAAUUUAUAAUGCUGAAAAAAGGAUUCCAAUAGUACCUAUUAGGUUCCGAAACAACCCUACCCUUACAGCCAAACCGAUUGAAGCAGGUGAAAUGUCCAUUCUCUAUAAGCUAUGGUUGGGCAUUAAAUGCUGGUGGCACAGCCACAUAUAGCUGAAUUCACAACCAACAAAUUGAGUGGCCACCGCUUGAAUAUGCAAAUCAAAGCAACAGUAUUUCUAUGGAAAUUAUUUAACAAUGUCAAUGCCAAAUAUUUUUCAUCGUCAAUCAUUUCAUCCCAUCCAUUCGAAUUUCCGUACUCUAACUGCGCUUCUAUGAAUCUACCAAAAACAAGAAAUUUGGCAUCAAAACCUAUAACAACGAGACUUGUGAGAUUCAAAAGCAAGGAACAUGAAGAUACUAAACCAUCAAAAUAUGUUGUGGAAAAAUCGUGUGACCCGUCUAUAUUCGACAGAUGGAAGCCAAAAGUGCCUGAACUGAAUUAUUGUGUUUAUCCAAAACCACAGGAUACCUACAAGUGCCGAAAAUAUAGAAAGUGCAUUCCCGGAAUGAAAUUUCAAGAAAAAUCUAAGAGUGACAUAGAAAGGGAAGCAAGACAAUGUUUAAAUGAUGUAAAUCCAACAAUUGUCAAAGAAUGUUACAGAAUCAUAGGUAAGCAGGGACAGGAACCAAUACCCCCACCCUUGCUAACUAGGCUGGUUCGAAGAGCAUCAAAACCAGACAAACAGAGUGAAAGAACUGCAACAUGGUAUGGAGCUGGCGUUUCGACUAAGCAAAUAGACCACGAAAUUCCAGAAGGGGAUUGGGAUUCUGACAGAACCUUGUAACAAUAAAGUAAUUACAUUAAUAUAUAACACAAAAAAAGAAAUAAUAGAGGCCUCAUUGUAAUGGAACUUUCUCACUCUGUGGCAGAAUUAUUAAAAGCUAUGAUGAAGAUGCCUUUAAAACAUAGUCUAACUAAGUGGAAGUGUAAUACUUUUUUAAAUUAUUUGGUUCCACUCUUUCUGUCCCAUUUAUUUUUACAAAUUGCUAUAUGUCUAAAAC